GAGAAACCGCGGUCGUAACUCGCGGUUUUCCAUUCUGUCGACAAAGGAAUCUUAACUGGAAUUGUUCGAGUGAACGUGCCCCAUGUCGUACGUAAAAAAAAAAGAAGAUGCUAGGAUCGAUGGAACACACAGACAUCCAAACGUGUCAGGAAUCACAAAGGAGAAGUAGUCAGGAAUCACAAAAACGUAACAUGGAAAAAAGCUAGUGAAGGGACGAAAAUGGUGGAAGUCGCUCAUCGACAAAUUACGCUCUUCAAGUCGGUCCCUCCGUCAGGAUCCCUUUUUUCUUUCGAAGAGAAGCGAUCAACUUCCAUUCUUCCAGCAUGUCCGACCGUUUUCCUCGUUUUCGAAAACGGCCAGGCCGCGACGGCUCGUUCUACUUGGACGGAGCAGGGGUUAGAAAGCGGCGGAGGGUCGUUGAAGUGGAGUCUCUUGCCUCCCUUGGCAACGGUCACUUGGAAACCCGCCGAAAGAGUGGACAUUCCGCGGAGCACGCCGUAGAGGGGACUUUUCGAGGAACUUUUCACCAUAUAUAAACGGUUUUUCGAGGGUGUGAACGUUGAAAAACGAAUUCUCUUCCUUGAAAUUUUCAUGAGCAACUCCCUACCGUUACUCUGAGUCGAAUUAUUGCUCAAUCUGGUCUUAAAUACGCUACAAACGAACUGAAAGGACUUACGAUGGAGACUUCCAGUUCUUAAUGUUCGACUUUGUUCGUGCUUACGAAUCUAUAAAAAGACAGAUGAUCACGGCGGGUUGAGUCGAAAGAGAUAGGUGACUGGUUUUGGAUACGUUUGAUAGAAAUGUAAAUUAUGCUUACGGUCAGAGUUAUUGAUCGUGUUUUCGCUCGUGGUGAUGAGAUUCUGCCUCAGUAAGCGAAUUUUUUAGCAUAAAGAUCUGAAUUGGUGCAAAGAUGGAACGUUUAACGAGCUUUCUUAGGUCUAAUUAUGACUAGAGGCUUAUUAUUUGAGUCUUUGGGGAAACAAACUGAUCAACUUCAGUUUUUGUACAUUUCUCGCAAUCAUCGUCCACGCAAUUAAUAAUUUUCAAUUCAUUGCGAAAGAACGACACAAAUAACAAUAAAUUUCAAAACAUAUUUUUAAAAGCAAUGUUUAUUACUAUCGGUUAUUGUCUACCUUCGAACGAUUUCUGAUAGAACUUCUCUUUCUUGAUAUAAUAGCUAAUCGAUAUUAGGAUAAUUAUUUUCAAAAAUGAAGCUUUUAUUAGGCGACCAACUGUUAAUUAGCAGUAUUCCGCUAAAUCAUUAUCCUUGACUCGACGAAGGUUACAAAAGGACCUCGACUCGAGGCGGGAUGUCUUUUUACGCGUUCAGCAAUUACGAGUUCCGCAUCCGAGGUGUCAAUCAUGAAAAGAGGAUGUUCUCGCGAGGAUACGGUGAAAAUGCGGCCAACGAAGAUAGAGGAAGUGCAGUGCAGAAAAGGCUUCCUUCCAAUUUACGGCCGCGCCGGAUACGUGAGUAAUUGCAAGACAGUGAAACAAAAGGUCGCGGCUAAACAAAAGAUUGACCCCUGACUGCCUUGUCACGGCAGUUUCCCUUCACGUGCUUACGUACGAUGUAUGAUUGCGUGCCUGUUGACUCUUACGCCAAGAGAAAAGGCGAAUCAGUUUGCACUAUUCGCGUGGCCGACGUUCACUUCCUAUCAUCGCGACUACUAUAAUUUUUCUUGAUAACACUGGGGGUGCAGUGAGACUCGCUGUGCAGGGAGGGAUCUCAGAACGAUAAGUUUUCUUAAAGAAUGUAAUUGCGCUGCUUUUGUUAAUUAAGAAAUGUAAAUCAACGUGCUAUAAAUGAAUUACGCAAUUACGUAGUUACUUAUUCGUUCAUCUUUGAAGAUAUAUGAAGAGGAAUAUUUACAAUUGCUAUUGUUUAUAAUAGUUAAUUGUAUAAAUAAAUCAGAGUGCAUUCGCCAAAAAUUAUAUUAAGUUUAGAUUCAAAACUCAAUCUCAUUGAUUAAGUACGAUGAAAAUGGGAAUUUAUAAUUAAAAAAUGAAAUUAGAAAA